AUUGAACGCUGGCGGCAGGCUUAACACAUGCAAGUCGAGCGGGGUGAUGGUGCUUGCACUAUCACUUAGCGGCGGACGGGUGAGUAAUGCUUAGGAAUCUGCCUAUUAGUGGGGGACAACAUCUCGAAAGGGAUGCUAAUACCGCAUACGUCCUACGGGAGAAAGCAGGGGAUCAUUUGUGACCUUGCGCUAAUAGAUGAGCCUAAGUCGGAUUAGCUAGUUGGUGGGGUAAAGGCCUACCAAGGCGACGAUCUGUAGCGGGUCUGAGAGGAUGUUCCGCCACACGGGGAAGGGGAACCGGCCCAGACUCCGACGGGGGGCAGCAGUGGGGAAUAUUGGACAAUGGGGGGAACCCUGAUCCAGCCAUGCCGCGUGUGUGAAGAAGGCCUUAUGGUUGUAAAGCACUUUAAGCGAGGAGGAGGCUCUUUUGGUUAAUACCCAAGAUGAGUGGACGUUACUCGCAGAGUAAGCACCGGCUAACUCUGUGCCAGCAGCCGCCGUAA
rnacentral:rRNA from 1 species